rnacentral:rRNA from 1 species
AUUGAACGCUGGCUGCAUGCCUAACACAUGCAAGUCGAACGAGUGGCGGACGGGUGAGUAAUGUCGGGGAAACUGCCUGAUGGAGGGGGAUAACUACUGGAAACGGUAGCUAAUACCGCAUACCAUCGGAUGUGCCCAGAUGGUGUUAGCUAGUAGUUGGGGUAAAGGCUCACCUAGGCGACUAUCCCUAGCUGGUCUGAGAGAAUGACCCGCCACACUGGAACUGGGACAAGGACCAUACUCGUACGGGAGGCAUAAGUGGGGAAUAUUGCACAAUGGGAGAAAGCCUGAUAGAGACGUGCCGCGUGGAUGAAGAAGGCUUUGGGAUUGUAAAGUACUUUCUGCGGGGAUGCGCGACACGCAGAAGAAGCACCGGGUAACUCCGUGACAGCAGCCGCGGUAAUUG